rnacentral:rRNA from 1 species
UACGGAGGGGGCUAGCGUUGUUCGGAAUUACUGGGCGUAAAGCGCACGUAGGCGGCUUUGCAAGUUAGAGGUGAAAGCCCAGAGCUCAACUCUGGAACGGCCUUUGAGACUAGAGGACUUGGGUACGGGAGAGGUGAGUGGAAUUCCGAGUGUAGAGGUGAAAUUCGUAGAUAUUCGGAAGAACACCGGUGGCGAAGGCGGCGACCUGGUCCUUGACUGACGCUGAGGCGCGAAAGCGUGGGGAGCAAACAGG